rnacentral:lncRNA from 1 species
AGUAGAUACCGUGUUUUUGGAGAGAGGAAAACAUUUCUUAAAUGUCUGGAAGAAUACAAAUACAAAUAUUUAUAGCAGAUGUCUCCAGAUGGGAGGUUAAUGGAUAGUGUUUAUUUCCUUUUUGCUUUUCUUUUUUCAAUUGUCUUGGAAGAAUAUGUAGUACUCCUAUCAACAAGAACAAUCACAAAAAGAAACUCCCUUCCUUGAUUGAAAUCUUUUCAGACACUGGUUUGACACUUUUCAGCUAUAAAGAGGGGCAAAUAACACUGUCUUCUGGCUACAUGAUUCCCCCCUGGGCUUAGAGUUCAAAGCUCAUUGAUUCUAUUUUUACCUGAGGACAUUCUGACCCAUCUUUGGUACCACAUGUCAGGAUCCCCUUCCAGGACCUGAUGGUCUUGCCCUAGGGAGCAAUUGGAUCACAGAGUCUCUCUGGGAGGAGGGGGAGGGUAUGUGUGAUGGAUGAGGGUUAGUCUCUUAAGUUCCAAAUCCAACAGACCCUGGGUAAAAUAUUUUUGAAGGAUAUAUCAGCCUUCUAGGAAGAUCUGAAUUUGUCCUAAUGCCUCACAGGACAUAUCAACCAGAGAACUCUGAGCAAGUCCUCAUUCAGCUGAGAGUCUUCCCCGUGACCCAUAGUUUGGCAAGUCUCUUCCUGUCGCGGCUACCCAUGUGGAUUUCUGACCAGACAAUUAUGGAAGCUGUUCUCUGGUUCUCUCAGAAUUCUUCCUGAUUCUCUGCUCUUUUCAUGACUUUGGUAGUCACCCAGUACUAAGGUACAGAGAGCUAGAGUAGCCAUGCACAAAUGUGCAGAUCUGGCCCCAGAAUAGUAAGUGGACCAUUUUCCUUUCAUAGCUUAUGGUUGGGGGUUGGGGGAACUUCAGUGCACUUUUAACUAGGGCAAAGCCUGGAAUAUGGUGUAGUGGUUAGGAGAACAGGUUCAUAUCACAUAUACACCGUGAAUCCUAACUCUGGCUCUUACUGGCCAUGUAACGUUGAACAAGUCCUUUGGGUCUUCAUUUUUCCACCUCUAAAAUGAAGAUAAUAAAGGUGCCUACCUCAAGGUUUACUGUAAAGAUGAAAACAGAAGAUGUAUAGAACCCACUCUUAACACUGGUUUGGGCAUAACUGGAUCAGUUAGGGAUUUAGGGUUGCAAACUAUACUAGGUUGAGUAGUGUCACUUUAAAAUCCAUGUUCACCUGGAACCUCUGAAUGUGACUUCAUUUGGAAAUAGAGUCUUUACAAUGUAGUCAAAUUAAAAUAAAGUCAAUCCUUAUUUAUAAGAAGAGAGAGAUUUGGACACAGACACACAAAGGAGAAGGCCAUGUGAAGACAGAAGCAGAGACUGGAGUGACACAUCUGCAAGCCAAGGAGCACCAACGAUUGCCAGCAACCCCCAGAAGCCAGGAAAGAGACAGGGAACAGAUUUUUCCCUCGGACCCCCCAAAAGGAACCAACUCUGCCAACACUUUGGUUUCACACCUCUAACCUCCAGAAUUCUCCCAUGAGAAAAUAAUUCCUGUUGUUUUAAGCCACCCAGUUUGUGGUAUUUUGCUAUGGCAGCCCUAGGAAACGAAUAUAUAAGCCAACAUUGAAUUUCAUUAGAAGGCCAUGGGAUAGCUCCCGGAAUCAAUGAGCCAGGUAAAAGCCAAGCCCAGAAAGGGACAAGACGCACUGUUAUUAGGUGCUAGCUGACAGUCCAAUCAGCUUUAAAUGUUUUUAUCCUUGUGUUAUCCCCAUCUGAGAAUUGAUGUUUCAGUGGAAGCAGCUCAAUUUGCUCAGCUUGUAUCAUGUGCCUACUUCUUGACCAGGCCCACGGUUCUCUGAAUGAUAGUCCUACCAAUAUGGUGCAUAAUAAGGAAGGGAUAAUUUCCUAAAUUUACUAUUGGGGUGCAGUUACCAGGAAAAUUCAAAAAAAUAUCAUUACAAUGCACUUAGUAAAUCUUAGCUAUUAAUACUACUGUUAUUUAAAAAAAAUUAUCCUUCAACCCGCAUCAACGCUCAGGACACCAACCACACUUCCUGAGGAUUCCCUGGUUGUCCACUUGAGAGCCCAUUCUAGUGACAAGGGGAGGAAAAAGGAUAUGGGGAGAAAUACAAUAUUCUUUACAAUUGGCAUGAAUUCUGAAUGAAAGGCCAUGGAUAGGGUUCAAGGUGAUCUCGAAUGUUGUGUUGUAAUUUUUGUUCCCUAGUUGUGUUUCCAUGUUGUGACUGCUCAUAGUGUUUUAAAUUAAUUGUCUUAGAAGAAAACUUAAAGGUAAUAUAUUACUGUGUACACUCAUUAUCUGCACUGU